rnacentral:lncRNA from 1 species
CUUUGGGGACAUAAUUAACCUAUGAGGUUUCUGACUUUAUGAGUAUAUUAAUAAAGGCCUGUCUUGCCUUCCAUAACUUCUACCCUAUGAGGACAAAACAUCGAGGAAACAGUGAGCAACAAAACCUUGGGAGUUCCAAUGUCCAAAACUCAGGGAAAUAAAGUUACCCAGUCCCAGGUAUUUGAUGCCUAAAAUACAAACAAAUCAAGACAACAUCUCAAUUUAUUCUGACAGAUUGGUGAUAUUGAGUGAAGUUUUCAUAACAUUUAUUUAGUUUGUCAACAGCAUUUGACCCCAUUUACUGUGAAUUUUGUGUGACUUGGGCCCUAUUCUAUGUGCUUUACACACAUUAAUUCAUUCAUAGUAAAUGAAACCUUCUACUGGUAUCUCAAUCCAUCCUCUUUCUUCUGUCACAUUGAUUACCACUACCUCUCUCACUGGUAGGAACCCACCUCAACAUUAACUCCGAAUCUAUCAUUGUUCUUAGUCUGCCUGGAUAGUUUCUCUCAUCUCCAUAGCUGUUUAUCAUUUUUACCUUACUAUAUUUACAACAUGGGACAGCAUGCAUGUCUGAGUACAAGGGUCCCCUGCUUGAACAUUCUUCUGUCUCUUAUGAAUUUCUUUGUGUUUUAUUACUAAACAAUUUCUGUUUAUGGCAAAUAUUUUUUAAAAAAAAAAGACUAGUAAAGCCACG